CGCUAGCGGCGUGCCUAAUGCAUGCAAGUCGAACGAGAAGCCUUGGACACGUCUAAGGUGGAGAGUGGCGAACGGGUGAGUAACACGUAGGUGACCUACCCUGGAGAGGGGGACAACCAGUGGAAACGCUGGCUAAUACCCCAGAUGUCAAUAUAGUUAGAGAGUAUAGACUAAAGGAUGUCAACAGACAGACCGCUCCAGGAGGGGCCUGCGACCCAUCAGCUAGUUGGUAGGGUAACGGCCUACCAAGGCGAAGACGGGUAGGGGGCGUGAGAGCGCGACCCCCCACACUGGUACUGACACACGGACCAGAUACCUACGGGUAGCAGCAGCAAGGAAUAUUGCGCAAUGGGCGAAAGCCUGACGCAGCAACGCCGCGUGGAGGAAGAAGACCUUCGGGUUGUAAACUCCUUUUCUGGGGGAAGAGGAAGGACGGUACCCCAGGAAUAAGGCCCGGCUAACUACGUGCCAGCAGCCGCGGUAAAGCGUAGGGGUCAAGCGUUAUCCGGAAUUACUGGGCGUAAAGCGCGUGUAGGCGGUUGCGUAAGUCGGACGUGAAAGCUCCUGGCUCAACUGGGAGAGGCCGUUCGAAACUAGGUAACUAGAGGGUGGUAGAGGCAAGUGGAAUUCCCGGUGUAGUGGUGAAAUGCGUAGAUAUCGGGAGGAACACCAGUGGCGAAGGCGGCUUGCUGGGCCAACCCUGACGCUGAGAUGCGAAAGCUAGGGGAGAGAACGGGAUUAGAAACCCCGGUAUUCCUAGCCGUAAACGAUGUCAACUAGGUGUAGGUGGUUAUUGACCCCAUCUGUACUGUAGCAAACGGCGUUAAGUUGACCGNCUGGGGAAUACGGCCGCAAGGCUAAAACUCAAAGGAAUUGACGGGGACCCGCACAAGCAGCGGAGCGUGUGGUUUAAUUCGAGGCUACGCGAAGAACCUACACAGGGUUUGACAUAUGCGUGGUAGGGAGUCGAAAGAGGACCGACCAUUCGGGGAGCGCAUACAGGUGCUGCAUGGCUGUCGUCAGCUCGUGCCGUGAGGUGUUAGGUUAAGUCCUGUAACGAGCGCAACCCUCGUCGUUAGUUACAAGUGUCUAGCGAGACUGCCGGU
rnacentral:rRNA from 1 species